UACGUAGGGCGCAAGCGUUUGUCCGGAAUUAUUGGGCGUAAAGAGCUCGUAGGCGGUUUGUCGCGUCUGCUGUGAAAACGCGAGGCUCAACCUCGCGCCUGCAGUGGGUACGGGCAGACUAGAGUGCGGUAGGGGAGAUUGGAAUUCCUGGUGUAGCGGUGGAAUGCGCAGAUAUCAGGAGGAACACCGAUGGCGAAGGCAGAUCUCUGGGCCGUUACUGACGCUGAGGAGCGAAAGCGUGGGGAGCGAACAGG
rnacentral:rRNA from 1 species